rnacentral:rRNA from 1 species
UAGGGAAUCUUCGGCAAUGGACGAAAGUCUGACCGAGCAACGCCGCGUGAGUGAAGAAGGUUUUCGGAUCGUAAAACUCUGUUGUUAGAGAAGAACAAGGACGUUAGUAACUGAACGUCCCCUGACGGUAUCUAACCAGAAAGCCACGGCUAACUACGUGCCAGCAGCCGCGGUAAUACGUAGGUGGCAAGCGUUGUCCGGAUUUAUUGGGCGUAAAGCGAGCGCAGGCGGUUUCUUAAGUCUGAUGUGAAAGCCCCCGGCUCAACUGGGGAGGGUCAUUGGAAACUGGGAGACUUGAGUGCAGAAGAGGAGAGUGGAAUUCCAUGUGUAGCGGUGAAAUGCGUAGAUAUAUGGAGGAACACCAGUGGCGAAGGCGGCUCUCUGGUCUGUAACUGACGCUGAGGCUCGAAAGCGUGGGGAGCAAACAGGA